CUAACAAGGAUUCCCCUAGUAACGGCGAGUGAAGCGGGACCAGCUCAAAUUUGAAAUCUCCGAUGCCUGCAUCGGCGAGUUGUAGUUACGAGAAGCACUUUCUAGGUGGAUCGGUCGUGCCUAAGUUGCUUGGAACAGCACGUCGCAGAGGGUGACAACCCCGUCUGUGGCGCGGCCGGCCGCCGACGAUGUGCUUUCGAAGAGUCGGGUUGUUUGGGAAUGCAGCCCAAAAAGGGUGGUAAACUCCAUCUAAAGCUAAAUAUUGGCGUGAGACCGAUAGCGAAGGAAACGAAUGGACUCAGCAAUGCGCCGUUUGAGAUUCAGCCGGUGGGUGGGAUCGGCCUGGGGUUUGCGGAUCCGAAUGGACCGUGGCCUUGGGCUCGUUUCUCCCCGCCGUCGCACUUCUCUUGGGCGCGCGUCAACGUCGGUUGGGACCGGGUCUGAAAGUUGCCGGGAAGGUAGGUCUGGGCCUCCGGGUCCGUUCUAUUACAGCCCGGCCUCUCAUGGCUCGGGCCCGACCGAGGAGUCGCAGCGCAUGCCUCUUGUGGCUAGGGUCCCGUCCUUCCGGCCGGUUGUCGAAUGCGGUGGACUGCUUGCAGUGCUCCGCGACUGCUGCCGGUCGUUGGGGUGGUGAUCU
rnacentral:rRNA from 1 species